UGAGGAAUAUUGGUCAAUGGGCGCAAGCCUGAACCAGCCAUCCCGCGUGCAGGAAGACGGCGCUAUGCGUUGUAAACUGCUUUUCCAGGGGGAGAAACUUGCGCACGUGUUGCGCAAUUGACGGUACCCUGGGAAUAAGCAUCGGCUAACUCCGUGCCAGCAGCCGCGGUAAUACGGAGGAUGCGAGCGUUAUCCGGAUUCAUUGGGUUUAAAGGGUGCGUAGGCGGACUAUUAAGUCAGUGGUGAAAUCCUGCAGCUUAACUGCAGAACUGCCAUUGAUACUGAUAGCCUUGAGUUUGGUUAAGGUAGGCGGAAUGCGUAAUGUAGCGGUGAAAUGCUUAGAUAUUACACAGAACACCAAUUGCGUAGGCAGCGUACUGAGCCGACACUGACGCUGAGGCACGAAAGCGUGGGGAUCGAACAG
rnacentral:rRNA from 1 species